AUGUCAGGGAAAGCAAAAGCUGGGUGUGGGUGUGGUUUCCUGCGUCUCCUGCAUACCCCAGGCAGCACAAAACGAGGGUGUAGGACUUCAGUCCGUAGAGGACUAAUGGCGAGAACUCAUUUGUCUUGCAUUUAGGUCUGAUGGAGAAACAUGCAGGGGGAACUUUGCUGGCAGCUGGACAGAUUCCCAGGGCUGUUCCAGGCAGUGGGCCUGUUGCACUUUGCUUGAAGUGUGUGCAACUGUCUGAAGAAAAUCAACGGCUGACUGAGGAAAAUCAACAGUUGAAGGCCAUGCUGGACAACUGUAUGUGCAAAGAGCUGCAGCUGCCAAUUGGAGGUUCCUGCCAGCAUUCUGCUGCAAUGUUUCAAGUGUGGUCAGAAGAAGAUGCAAAGUAGUUUUAUCUGUGACUGGCAUGCUUGCUAGAAAGGCUUCUGAAAUUUGCAGAGCUUUUGUUCGGACCUCUUCUUACCCGCUCUGGGAGUAGAUCACUGUCCUCCUCAGUAGGUCCGUGCUCAUUUGUGGACGUGCCUUGACCAGCUGUUGACAUAUAAGUGUCAAUUGCUGACUUGAGGUGGCCCAGGACAGUUUCUCAAGGAGCUGUUUUUGGCUAGAAAACCUGCAGAGGUUUGUGGACUGAAGUCACUAAUUGAUGAGAAGGGAUAUCAAGAUGUGCUUCACCUGAUCCGCAAAAAAAGCUCUGGUGCCCCUGUUUGGCCCAGCUAGCCAAGACCUCAGAGUGAUGGAAUCCAGUACUGUGAAGUGUCUUCCUCCUUGUCAAACAGGUAUUUUGAGAUAUGCAGGCAGAUGCCUUUAAAAGGAGGUGCACAUUCUUCCUUUUCAAGUGAAGGAGUGCAAGCGCUUCAAGACUUUCAAGGACCACCAUAUCAUCGCAUAGACCACAACGCUCACAAUGGCCUUUUUUUUUCCUUUCACCUGAUCCGGUGCCACAAAGACCAUGUGCUCAACACUUUUCACUGCCGUGCAGCAGAUGCCGGAAUGUCUGCCUUUUACUGUUUCCAACAGGACAGGAACAAAGGCUUCCAGCUGUCCUCUUUCUAUGAAUCCAGGGACCUUGAAUCCUCACAAUAAAGAAAAACGUUCCUUUGAGCCAAAGCUCUUCUGAUUCUGAGUUCAACAAGGGAGUGAGCUUCUGAAUGAUCUUGUUGUCUCAAGUAGUUUAUUCUGGAGCAAGCGGCUGGUCAGCAUGCAGAUACUAACAUGUUGGUUUCUGGGAUCCCUGUGUACGCCCCUGAUGUUCACCCUCCCAGUCUCCACCAGGGAUCAGUCUGUGUCACCUUUAUCACCAGAACCUUCAGGUUGGCUGCAGAAAGGCGGAUCUGGGGUCAUAUGCCUCUGGCAGCCUGCAGCUUCUGCCCCUGGGUGCAGCUGGCCUGUCACAAGAGGGUACCAAAGAGCUGUGGGCCCACUUUAUUGACAACCGCCUCAGAGCAUACCCCUAAAAGGACUUUAUAGGUGGCCCAUGUGGCUUUGAGGGGUUCAUCAUCUUCAUAUUCUUUACUUUCUUUGCUGUCUGAGUAGAAAGCAGUUCCUCCAAGGAUGGAGGAUUCUGCCAUGCAGGUUAUCAACUUGAAAAAGAUCCGUAAGGCCAGGAGUGGGUCCUGAGCUAGAGACCUUCAGAGCUUGCCUGCCACGCUCUGAGAUAUGUUCCAUGAGAGAGGAGACUGAUGGUGCCAUUCCGAGGUGGUUUCAGUCCUCUGAAAUGUUCUCUGACUGACCACUAGGAUCUAGAAAAAAGCAGCCGUUCAUGACGCGGGUUAUGGUCUGUAUGCUGGUGUCCUCUGAAUACUGAGUUGCGGGGGCCGGCUGUGAUCCUCGUUCAUGUGGCUCAAGGUAGACGCACAUGCUCUCGAGUCCUCAGCCAAUUGUAGACUAGUCCCAGUUUUGCCCAGAUUGGCAGAACUGUUCUUUCUGGUUGGCUCUCCUGACAGGAUUUCUGAAGGUGGUCUUGCAUGUGGUAUUAGGUGUGGAAGGAGAGCCAGUAGCGACGAGUGUCGCUGGUGCAGGUGCUUUAUUAUUAUACGUUGCACAGCCAGGCAUCUCUGCAGUGGGUGGAAUCAAUUCAUCAGAACUGGCUGCUGCUGCUGCUGUGGGAGAACACAGACCAUGAGCACUUGCUCAGGCAUUUUCCAAGGCAGUCAAAGAAAAGGUUUAUGGGGGGAGCCCAACAUUUUCCCCAAGGUGCCGUUUUCAGUCAAUUGACGUUGCUGUCCUGGGCUAAUGUGGGUAUUGGGGCUUCUUUGCAGCAAGCACUGUCUGAGGGCAGCAUCUGCUCUGCAAGUAUGGAAGGAAAGGGAGGGAGAGCCAUAGCCCCAGGACACCAUGUUUUCUUAGAAUCCUGGAGGCCUUCCUAUAUGGAGGCCAUGCGUGUGUGUCAUUUUCUAAAGGGUUAGCAAGGUGAUUUAAGUCUGGUCUGGCUAGAACGUUAACUGAGACAAGCUGGCUGGUAUGCUGCGCCUUUUUUUUUACCUGCACCAUAUUGCAGUGUAGUUUUGAGAUUGCUAAGCGAAGAGACAGGAGGCUCCAAGUCAGAGGGUGGGGGAGUGAAGUUAAGUUUUACUUGCAAGGAACGAAGGGAUUGUCUCCUCAGUGAAGACUCUAGUUGUCGUUAUUCCUAACCUUAUCAAGAUCAAUGGUAUUCAUACUGGACCCUAGUAGCUGGCUCAAUGAGCAGUGGAUGUUUUUCUUAUUUGUCCAGCAUCCAGAGUUUAUACAAUUUUGAGAUAUAUCUAACAUGAUUUGAUUCAUUCCUAAUAUACCUGCAGAUUCCCCCAGAUUUCCCUCCUAAGUGGACCCUUGAGUUACAGACGGCUUGACUUACAGACUUUUUGAGUUACAGACUUCUCUGGCCGCAAAAUUUAGGUUUGACUUGCAG